rnacentral:rRNA from 1 species
UCUGGUUCAGGAUGAACGCUAGCUACAGGCUUAACACAUGCAAGUCGAGGGGCAGCAUGAUCGAAGCUUGCUUUGAUUGAUGGCGACCGGCGCACGGGUGAGUAACGCGUAUCCAACCUUCCCUAUAGUAGAGAAUAGCCCGGCGAAAGUCGGAUUAAUGCUCUAUGUUGUAUUUUAGAAGACAUCUGAAGAAUACCAAAGGUUUACCGCUAUAGGAUGGGGAUGCGUCUGAUUAGGUAGUAGGCGGGGUAACGGCCCACCUAGCCGACGAUCAGUAGGGGUUCUGAGAGGAAGGUCCCCCACAUUGGAACUGAGACACGGUCCAAACUCCUACGGGAGGCAGCAAUGAGGAAUAUUGGUCAAUGGACGGAAGUCUGAACCAGCCAAAAGUAGCGUGCAGGAUGACGGCCCUAUGGGUUGUAAACUGCUUUUAUAUAGGGAUAAAGUCGGGGACGUGUCCCCGUUUGUAGGUACUAUAUGAAUAAGGACCGGCUAAUUCCGUGCCAGCCGCCGC